GUCGAGCGAAGCAGUUAAGAAGAUUCUUCGGAUGAUUUUUAACUGACUGAGCGGCGGACGGGUGAGUAACGCGUGGGUGACCUGCCCCAUACCGGGGGAUAACAGCUGGAAACGGCUGCUAAUACCGCAUAAGCGCACAGAGCUGCAUGGCUCCGUGUGAAAAACUCAGGUGGUAUGGGAUGGGCCCGCGUCUGAUUAGGCAGUUGGCGGGGUAACGGCCCACCAAACCGACGAUCAGUAGCCGGCCUGAGAGGGCGACCGGCCACAUUGGGACUGAGACACGGCCCAAACUCCUACGGGAGGCAGCAGUGGGGAAUAUUGCACAAUGGGGGAAACCCUGAUGCAGCGACGCCGCGUGAGCGAAGAAGUAUUUCGGUAUGUAAAGCUCUAUCAGCAGGGAAGAUAAUGACGGUACCUGACUAAGAAGCCCCGGCUAACUACGUGCCAGCAGCCGCGGUAAUACGUAGGGGGCAAGCGUUAUCCGGAUUUACUGGGUGUAAAGGGAGCGUAGACGGCAAGGCAAGUCUGAUGUGAAAACCCAGGGCUUAACCCUGGGACUGCAUUGGAAACUGUCUGGCUCGAGUGCCGGAGAGGUAAGCGGAAUUCCUAGUGUAGCGGUGAAAUGCGUAGAUAUUAGGAAGAACACCAGUGGCGAAGGCGGCUUACUGGACGGUAACUGACGUUGAGGCUCGAAAGCGUGGGGAGCAAACAGGAUUAGAUACCCUGGUAGUC
rnacentral:rRNA from 1 species